rnacentral:rRNA from 1 species
ACAGCGUCAUAGUGGUGAGGACCCCGUAACUGAUGCGGAUGCCCGGUGCUUUGUGAUACACUUUCGAAGAGUCGAGUUGUUUGGGAAUGCAGCUCAAAUUGGGUGGUAAAUUCCAUCUAAAGCUAAAUAUUGGCGAGAGACCGAUGCGAACAAGUACCGUGAGGGAAAGAUGAAAAGCACUUUGGAAAGAGAGUUAACAGUACGUGAAAUUGUUGGAAGGGAAACGCUUGAAGUCAGACUUGCUAUUUGGAAUUCAGCCGCAAGGUGUACUUUUCAAUUCGCAGGCCAGCAUCAGUUUUCGGGGGUGGAAAAGGGUAGAGAGAAGGUAGCAAUUUCGGUUGUGUUAUAGCUCUUUGCUGGAUUCAUCCUUGGGGACUGAGGAACGCAGUACGCUUUUUGCAAGGCUUUCGAGCUUUUCGUGCUUAGGAUGCUGGUGGAAUGGCUUUAAACGACCCGUCUUGAAACACGGACCAAGGAGUCUAACAUGCU